rnacentral:rRNA from 1 species
UCACUUACAGAUGGACCCGCGGCGCAUUAGCUAGUUGGUGAGGUAACGGCUCACCAAGGCGACGAUGCGUAGCCGACCUGAGAGGGUGAUCGGCCACACUGGGACUGAGACACGGCCCAGACUCCUACGGGAGGCAGCAGUAGGGAAUCUUCCGCAAUGGACGAAAGUCUGACGGAGCAACGCCGCGUGAGUGAUGAAGGUUUUCGGAUCGUAAAGCUCUGUUGUUAGGGAAGAACAAGUGCAAGAGUAACUGCUUGCACCUUGACGGUACCUAACCAGAAAGCCACGGCUAACUACGUGCCAGCAGCCGCGGUAAUACGUAGGUGGCAAGCGUUGUCCGGAAUUAUUGGGCGUAAAGGGCUCGCAGGCGGUUUCUUAAGUCUGAUGUGAAAGCCCCCGGCUCAUCCGGGGAGGGUCAUUGGAAACUGGGAAACUUGAGUGCAGAAGAGGAGAGUGGAAUUCCACGUGUAGCGUGAAAUGCGUAGAGAUGUGGAGGAACACCAGUGGCGAAGGCGACUCUCUGGGUCUGUAUCUGACGCUGAGGAGCGAA